GCGGUCAUGGCGGAAUUGGCAGACGCGCCGGCUUCAGGUGCCGGUGGGCUAACCCCCCGUGGAGGUUCGAGUCCUCUUGACCGCACCA
rnacentral:tRNA from 1 species